ensembl:snoRNA SNORA74 Small nucleolar RNA SNORA74
CCCAGCUGCAGGCAACUGCUUAGGCUGCUUUGUACCUAGGCAAGUGUUGUACUGCUGGGAGAAAAGCAGCCAAGGCCCGCAGGCAUUCUGGGCCUGCUUAAUGCCAAAUCUGUAUUAACUAU